AUGGGAAGACUCCACCUUGGCGGGAUGUGCAGGUGAAGUGCUCCAGCUCUGAGGACGAAUCCUGGAAGAGAAAACCUGAUCCCAGGGCAUGAAGAAGGAGGAAAAGGAUGCAGGAAAGAAUUUAAGAGGCAAAGUGGAUGUGAUAAAGGAACGAGAAGAUCAUGAGAAAAGAUGAAAAAGAGAACAGUGACUGACCCAUGUCAUGAAGCAUCAGUUUCUAAACUUUGCUGUAUGCAGGCUCAAUGACUCUCCAAGAUAUGCAGAGCUUUGGGCCAGGAUCCUACAGCCACGGGUCAUGCAGAGCCAGUUGGCCACAUCCUUUGGGCCAAAUUUGGUCCUAACCAGGUCUUACCACGGUAACUGCUAACCAGUCCAUCUUCAGUUAAUAUUUCAUGCGUAAGAUGUUUCAUGAAGUAACUGAAUGGGCUAAUGGGUUGUUCACUGGAUAAGACUCCCAGAUACUCCCUUUCAUGCCAUUCCCCAGAAUUCCUUCACCUCCCAGUGCUGUCUGUAAGGGUGAAGAUACUCCAUUUUGCCCCAUGCUCUUUGCUGUGCCCCAGAUAGGCUCAAACAUUUUUCCCUUUUGGGGAUUUUGCAGGUAGGAAUUGUUGAACAUCUUACCAUUUAAUCCAGAAGUUAUGUCCUUUAAGGAAUCGACCCUGAGCCUGUGAGUUUUACUUUGGGUUGGGGGUGAAGGAGUGGACCUUGCAGCAUUCAAGGUCAUCCAAGAUCAUCCAGUUAAGGCCCCUAAGGUCACUACGGGGGGAAAAGCCUGGUGAGGGAAGAGAAAGCAUUAGGGGGAGCUGCACCGUGCUGAGAAAUAACACCACACAGAAGUCUGUGUUCUAAUCUCAGCUCUGCUUUGCAUUACUGUGUGACCUGGAGCUGAUCACAGCCCUCUGAGUCUUAAAGGGGUUGGACAAGGCCAACUAAACAUUAGAAACACCUGAAAGUGCUGGUUAAAAGGAAGAAUGCAUGAGCUUCACUCCAGAUUUACUAUAUCAGAAUUUCCAGGGUCAGGGUCCAAGAAUCUGCAUGUUUAAUACGCUUUCCACAUGAUUUUUCCCCCCUCUGGACUUAAGAAAACAAUGGGCAAGUCAGCUCAUGAAGAACUUUUCAGAUAUUCAGACUAUUAUUCUGAGAGAGAAAAUAUUGGCAGAGAACAGAUGGGAUUUUUCUCAAGGAAAAGAAAUGGAAAUCCUACAUCUUGCAAGAAAUAGAAAAAAAUAAAUAAACUGUUUGAAGAAGAAUCACAUCAGGCUGGCAGGAGAGAGCCUGCGGCUCGGUGUCUGACCCAGAAUGUUAAAGCCAGCCUGGCUUGGCUCCAGGAUAAAGGACACUCUGUCAGCCUCUCCACAUUGAUUCAUCUCCCCAGCCCCAAGAUCAGGAGAGCAUUCUGUUCCUUGAAGCAUUUUAUGACUGUAAGUCAGAAGUGCUGCAGUUUUAAUAAAAAGCUGUAUUGUCCUGA
rnacentral:lncRNA from 1 species